AAGCUUGCUUGUUGGGGUUGUAGGACUGAACAUUAGAGUUACCAAAGUGCGACGUAGUCGCAACAGUUGGGAAGCUGUGCCAUAGAGGGUGAGAGCCCCGUAGACGAAACGUCACACUCUCUGUUCAGGAUCCUGAGUACGGCGGGACACGUGAAACCCCGUCGGAACCCGCGAGGACCAUCUCGCAAGGCUAAAUACUCCCUAGUGACCGAUAGUGAACCAGUACCGUGAGGGAAAGGUGAAAAGCACCCCGGAAGGGGAGUGAAAUAGUUCCUGAAACCAUGUGCCUACAAGCUGUCGGAGCCCGUUAAUGG
rnacentral:rRNA from 1 species